GGGAGAUAGAGAAAGAGAACCGUGUCGAUUGCGCGCGCAAUCGCUCGAUUCCGUUGCCGCAUCAACCGAUGUAUCUUGACGCCAUAGCCGUGCCGGAAGAAGAGAUGGAUCGAAAAGUACGAACGCGAAGCGAAUAUCCGUACGCUUGACGACAACGCUUCGUUGGACUGCGCCGACAGGAAAAGAGACCGUUAAGAAUACUCGCCGGCCGGCGAAGUUUCUGUCGCCAUGACAGGUCUUCGACCGUCGACGAGGCUGCUGUUUUUUCGCGUGCCAACCGUGCCACGUAACGAGCCGUGUUCGUUCGACGCAAUUCCUCCGACCGAAAUAGUUCACUAGACUCGAAGUGAUUCGACGCUAUCACGAUAACAGUUUUUUAGCGAAUACCGAGAUUCCGCUCGAAUCGUUACCACCGGCCGACAAACGACGCCGAACAAAGGAGU